rnacentral:rRNA from 1 species
CCUACGGGCGGCAGCAGUGGGGAAUAUUGCACAAUGGGGGAAACCCUGAUGCAGCGACGCCGCGUGAGUGAAGAAGUAUUUCGGUACGUAAAGCUCUAUCAGCAGGGAAGAAAAAAAGUCCUUUGGACUUUGGACGGUACCUGACUAAGAAGCCCCGGCUAACUACGUGCCAGCAGCCGCGGUAAUACGUAGGGGGCAAGCGUUAUCCGGAUUUACUGGGUGUAAAGGGAGCGUAGGCGGCAGGGCAAGUCUGGAGUGAAAUGCCGGGGCCCAACCCCGGAACUGCGUUGGAAACUGUGCAGCUGGAGUGCAGGAGCGGUAAGCGGAAUGCCUAGUGUAGCGGUGAAAUGCGUAGAUAUUAGGAGGAACACCAGUGGCGAAGGCGGCUUACUGGACUGUAACUGACGUUGAGGCUCGAAAGCGUGGGGAGCAAACAGGAUUAGAUACCCGAGUAGUC